CAAGAAGAUAAUGGAACUGCACUUAGAAUAUGAGAGGACUUUCCUGCCCUGAAAUCAUCUAAGUGGAUCAUUUAGUGAAAAGGAUCCAGGAUCAAGUUUUAAAUGAAGGUGACAAUCAAGAUUUCAUUUUGAAUAUAUUUACACAAACAGCAAGAACACUGACUUUAAAUAUCCUGACCUGGAUAGCAAUUUUCAGGCCAGAUUUCCUCAGCAUAUCCCAAGUACCAGCUGGAAAAAUCCUCAGGUAUUUACCAUGGAAACAAGGCACUGCCCUUGGGCAGUUCUGUAUUUUCUAUUCCUACUGCCCCUUUCUCUCCCAACCACCUUGGGGGGCAUUGAUGGUUAAGAAGACCUCCAUUACAGAAGAUUCUACAUCAAAGAAUCUUCAUGGAUCUUUAUGAGGCUUCAACAAUAUGGAACUCCUUUUUAUGCCUUACCAUCAAAGGAACCAUUAGAAGAUGGGGAUCUAUGUGGAAGAAGUAGACCAAGAGUGACAGAAUUUUAAGCUUGUACCUAAACCCUGGGUCCUGACAGACUUUUUGCUGAUCCACUGUGAUGUGAAUGGCCUAUGUCACAUGUCCCAGAUGCCAUGAUAUGAAUCUCUCUGCUGUGCUUUCCCCAUCAUGAUGAACUUAAACCCUGAACCCAAAUAUGUCUUCAACUUGCUUGUGUCUGUCAAGGAUUAUCAUCAUAGCAAUGCAAAAUGUAUCAACCUAUCAAGUAACGGUUAUUGUACCUAGUAAUGGUCCAAUAAUGAUGCAAUAGAGAGUUAAAAUCUACCAUGCCACCAAUUCAGAUGUGCCAAAGGAGAGUGGGAGAAUACUUCCUUUAGGGGGAAAGGUCUCAAAACAUAUAAAACAUUUACUUGUACCGGCAGGUACUUUCAGUGGUUCUGAAAUGUCUCCGUCCAUAAAUCAGAGGAAUGCCUAUAUUUGGAAUUCAACUUUUUUUGAUACAUUACUUCUGCAAGUAUGUGUAAUGGAGGAAGGGAUGUCUUUAAGGAAAGAUUCUACUAAUGGAGGUUUCAAAGAAGAUGGCUGCUGUAAGCAAGCUAAUUAGACAUUCACUGCUAACAAUCUUGACCUCAAUUAGGUGAAGGAUUCCUAAUUAAAUCCUUUCAGGCUUUUGUGUUAAAUGGUAAUUGAAUGCCUAAAAGUUUCUCACAAUUAUAUCAUAUUAACAAGAAUGUAUUUGCAUUUUUAAUGCUUUAUUGAUUUCCAAUUCAUUAUAGAGCUGCUUAUGUUAUUUCACAGUGCCGUUGAAACCUUUGUAAACCUUUGUAAACUGUUCUUUGGUGUCCAGACACUUGGGUACAGGUUAGAAAAGUAGCAAAGUUUGUGACCCACUCUGGGCAUUUGCAGUCUGCAGUAGUUUAGCUGCCUCUGCCCACAGCUGUCACCACCUCUUUAAACAUUCAUGAGCAUGUGUGCAGGAAGAAGACUCAGGGAAGCUGGAGACACACAGUCUAGACCACGCUCUUGGCUGUUGGUAAAUCUCAUACUCUCAUGAAGUGCCAUCUCUUUUGAG